CAUGAAAACAAAAGAAAAGAGCAAAUAAAGCUUAAUCAAUGACAAGCACUGUCAGCUCUGGUUUUUGCAGCAGGAGGAAUUAGGACUGAGAUUCAGAACCUUCCUAGCACAAGGUUCUCUCCAGCACCACACCUACAGGAAAGCACAAAACUGCUCUGAUACUGUAGCAAUGAGGCUCUAAACUACUUACUUAGCGUGUCUCAACCUCAGCACUAUUGAUACUUUGGACCAGAUCAUUAUUUGUCAUGGGCGGGGGGACGACCUUGUAGGAUGCUGAGCAGCAGCCCCGGCCUCCGCUCCCCACACACCAGCAGCACCCCCUUCUCCCCAGGACUGUGACAGCUAAAAAUGAUUCCAGACAUUUUGCCCAACAUCCCUUAGGGGGUGAACCUGCCCUGGUCUAGCUGAAGAACACAAUUUGUCAAGUGCAUUAAAAACGAUGAACUCAUAAAGGAGGGAAGGAGUUCGUUAUCCCCAUCUGCCAAAAAUAAUGAGCCUAAAAUAAUACUUCCAUGAGAUUCCAUGGAGUUUAUUUAUUCCUGAUGGUCCUGUUCAGAGCUUUAUAAUAACCCAUAAUGCUUAUGCUUGUGCACUUGAUAAAAAAAUAAUUACAAAUACCAGCCUCUCCCCAUUCAGAGGUUUCUAGAAAGACAUAGCAGACUUCCAGGGGCAAGCCCUGAGGGACUGAACCCUUACAGGCUGCAAGAACACCACCCCAGCUUUCAGACGCCGGUGUGUCCUGAGCAACUCAGGGGUCAGAGCGGACCCCUCCACAUGCCCAUGUCGGGCAGACCACCUGUGACUUAGGAACUGAACAGAGGCAGCGAAGGUCUCCAGACUCCAGGCAAACAGCACUUUUUCCCUACAUGCUCAUCACAUGCACGUAAGCACUGAUAUUUGCUCCUAGUUUCCAAGGAGGGAGAGAGAAAGGUGAAAAUGAUGACGAGAGACUAAACACAGAAAGCCCUUCUGAUUCUUGCAAAUGCAUCUCCACUACAAUAGAUCCACUGCACUGCCUUAAACGGCCUUGGCCGUCGGUCAGAUGGUACCGAGUAACGUUCACUCUCAUUGAGAGAUGUCAGAAACCUGAGGGAGAGACGCCCACUUCCCAUUAAAGUGCAGUAUUUUCUGUGGGUUGAGGUGAUCUGCUCCAACAACAAUUCCGAGUCACACAGUUUCUUGUUUUCAUUUGUUCUAAGGAAGGUAUUUAACCGUUUACAAGGACUUGCAGGUCUCUCGGAGGAAUAUUAAACUGGAUGGUGGAAAUACCUGUGACCUCUACACGGAGGAGAGGUGAGAAAAGGUUGACCUCCUCUGCUACAAAACUGAGGAGAGAGUUAGUCCAUCCAAGCCCAGUGGUGCAGGCUGUGAAAACUCCAAAUCGGAGAGGAGCACUGAGCUAUUUUAAAUGGGCAUCUUCUACAAACUCCCUUGGCAGAGCUUGUGACUUCUGAACACAAUGCCCUCUCCGCUUUUUAAAGGAACAAAGGUACAGGAGCCUUUUGUUGCACAGAAAGAGCAUCUCCCCUAAUUCGGGGACUUAUGAGUAAGCAGAAAUUACAUUUCUUCAACCACAAUGUCUUUCAUACCAUCUUCUUCCAACGCUAAAAAUCAAAACAGCCGCUCUGAAAGAUAAUUUCUAUAGUGAAUCACAAUAAAAUCGCCCAAGGAUUAUAAUAUCCAACUUGUUUAAGAUGCCUAAGAGGGAAAGUUAUUUUUAAUAUUAUCUAAAAUAAGAUCUCAGGACACGCAAAGUUAUUUUUAAGGUUCUGAAUUUAGGCCUCUCUCCAGCACAGUUCGUAUCUAUUUUAGUUUAAAAAUCAAGGACACAGUAGGUAGCGAACACAACUAGUAUCCAUGAGGAUGUGGGUCCGAUCCCUGGCCUUGCUCAGUGGGUUAAGGAUCCAGCGUUGCCACGAAAUGUGGUAUAGGUCACAGACACAGCUCAUAUCUGGCAUGGCUGUAGCUGUGGCAUAGGCCCACAGCUGCAACUCUGAUUCAACCCCGAGGCUAGGAACUUCCAUAUGCCACAGGUGCAGCCCUAAAAAGCAAUCAAUCAAUAAAUUAAUUAAAUGCAUAUAUGUCCUUAUACUCCAUUUUCUCUUUUCAUGACAACCUAGCAUUUGACAAUACUCCGUACGAUAAACACACUUCAAACUGGCGGUCAUUUACUUAAAGAAGGGAGUUGAGGCCAAGAAAACCCAAACCCAGGCCACUUACCCCUGGCUUUGGGAGGAGGAGCUUGUGCACUGAUAUAGGAAGGAAGACACAGAUAAUGCUUCCAAGCUGCAAACAGAUCCGUGUUCCUGCCCUGUUUAUUCUACCACAGAGCUUCUCUUAAGUGUUUUCAAUAUAGUAACCCAAACGGUUUCUUGCUGGAACAACAUGGUUACACUGAAGUUCAAAGGCUUUCUCUGCUAGGAUUGCAGCUUGCUAGCCAAGAAGGGGUCAAUUUGAGAAAAGACAAAUAGCAAAGCACAUGCUAGUAAUAAACCUGGAUAUCAAAUACGCUGAAACAAUAAAAAACAUGUGUAUGUAUGUAUGUGUAUAGACACACCCACAUAUGUACACGUGGAUACAAAUGUGCAGAUACUGGGUUGCGUACAGAUGAUUCUGAGGCGUCCAAAUUACAAUUCCCUGGUAUGGAUCCCACCUCCCUCUACUCAGGGUCUUCCCUGCUACCAGCUCCCACCACCAACGCUCCCAGAUCUGCCCAAAUCCUUCUGGCAGUCUAUGAAGGCUUAACCGAACCCUAUGCACAAAAACCUCCCCCAACAAAUCACUCCCAAGCACAGAAUUCCCCAACAGGGCACUGGGGUCGACUGGAAAUUCUACUGGGUGGACAUUCCAACUACUGUAGGACCCUCUACCUCAAUCAGGAGCUAAGGAGACCCUUUCCAAGAGUGUGUUUUUCCAGAGGUGGAUUGUGCCAGCUGGAUCAGAACAAUAACACAGACUUCCUCAGCCGCGCAGACCCCAGGGCUGCAGAACCAGACCCUCUGGUGGUCAGAGCUGAGAAACUAUUGAACCAACGAUACAAAAGAUCACGUGAGCCUUAGGCAUAAUCAAGUCGAAGGUCCUGUCCAUGAGGGGGAAAGAUGGCAAAGGUACAUAUCAGAAUUAGACCUCCAGACCAUCCCCAAAAUGGCACUGUCGCAGAAAUCUCUAGCGGGAAGCUCAUGAGAAGAGAAGCCUUCCAAGAAAUGCCCAACCUCCUUCCUCCAUGACCUGGCGCACCUGAGCCUUGAGACCCAGUGGCCCUGAUCUUUGCCUAGAAGGUCCAGACAGAAGCACAUCCGACUGGAACAUGGUUCAAGGCGUCAACAGAAUGUGGCCUCCAGGCAUCUCACAGCAUUCCUCCCCCACCCCCCCACCAUACUCCUGCUGUCCUGACACCAGGCAGCCCUUUCUGCCACAUGCUUAAUUUUCCCAUAAACCUUAGCUUCCAUGGCCUCCAUGCACCUGAUACACGAGUCUAGAGCAACAGGGUGAUAGAGGCUGGGGAACAAUGAGGGGUUUCCUGUGACUAAGAAUCAGAGGGGACUGUGGCUGGUGAUGUGAAGUCCCAUGAGAUGCUGAUGAACCGAGCAGUGAUCAAAGUAAUUACCCAAAACAAACACCAAGAUCACCUCCAGGUCAAAAUUUUUCUAUAUAUAAAUAUCCAUCAAGCCUACUGUAAAACAGUAGCCAACAAAGAUUUAAUGGUUAUUGAUUCUGGUGAGUCAUAAUAUGUACGUACACAUCUGGCAAUUAAUUGUCUACUCAUUUGCCGCUAUCACACCAAGGUACCAGAUGGACACGGCGAACUUGGGCCCCAGCAGCUUGAAUAACUUACGAAAGAAUUCUCUUCCUUCAGGGGCACCUACAUUUCCUUUUCACUGGCCAAGGAACUAGACGAAUGGCUACCCUUUGCAACAAUCAGCUCUGACUCUGUCCGGAAGAGGUGAUAAAAAUCACUAUGGAGCCCUCUCUAUGGUGUCAAGUUGCCUGAUUCCCGAGUAAAGUCAGCUGGGGUUGCUGUCAUUGCUGUUGGGGUCUUCAGCUCAUUCUUGAAGUUCUGCAUGUAAUACUACAAAGCAUUGUUAUUUCUACCCUGGCAGCUAUAAAUCAGUUAUUAAAAAUGCUCUGCAGCCAAUAUUAAGAAAUAAACACUGUAAUUAAGCAGACUGGGACUUGGGGUUUGGCGUAUCCUAUGGGAACCCAAGAUCAAAUCAUGCCACAGUGGGGUUACUGGGGAGAAAAGAAAUGAACCUUGUUUCUCUAAUGAGAAAACAUGUUUAUUCAAAGGCUUCCACAAUAGAGUUCAGGUCUUUAUGUGUGAAGAAAAAAAAGAGGACAAUUCAAAAACAUAUCGAAUUGCAGUGGUUCUAAUUAUUUUCAUACUUUGCCUUUCUCUUGUAACUAUAAAAAUUUUCCCAUCACGCUGAAGUCCAUGCAAUGAGUGAAAAACACCAGUCUCUUGAGAACAAUCGAUAUUUUACUCAACAUUAGGGAAAGGAGUUAAUGAUAAGCAUCCCCAUGCCUUCAGCCAUUUCAAAAGAUGGGGCUUUCGUGUAGAUGUCCAACCUGUACACCAGCAGUAUUUACAUACAAAUUCAAGAACUCUACCCUGAAAAAGGUCCACUUGGGGCUGGUAAAACCAAAAUGUCACAUGGAAUAAAUGCAGUCCUAAAAAGGAAGACUACUCCACGCCUAAGAGCAGUGCCUUUUUUAUUCUUUGUCCAGGAACAUUUAUGUCAAUCAAGAAGCCUGUGGUGACACCACGUACCCCGCCUGGACUGAGCAAUUAGAAGAGGAUAUACUGCAAUUUAAAUCUCCAGAACUUAAUACCUGAUUAACAUGGAGGAACCUGUGCUAAUCACAAGAUCCUAAAUUUAAAGCAUUGUCUUAGUAAUCGCUGUGCUAUAAGCAUGCAUGCAGAUCCGCCCUCCUACUCUCUGCUGUUUCACACCUUCAGGAAAGACAGUGCUUACUGCCAAGGAAGUAUCUGUAGCAGAACUGCAAGUUCCACAUGCUCCCUUCACUUUUAGUCCUCUGUUCAGACCUACCUAAGCCUGGUUCCCAAAUAAGACAUACACUGGCUUCCCACCUCACUUGCCAAGUCCCACACAGACUUAAACCCGAAGAGCAUUCAAGAAUAUUCUGCAGAGUCCAAAGUGAUCUCUCAAUAUUUCAGCAAGGGCUGGUAUGCUUUUUCUCGCCUCCAAAAAAAAAAUCUCUACCAUGCUGGGAAGGUAGGGGAAGCCGGCAUUUCGUAUGGAAGUGAGCUCACGUUUUCAAUUCUCUCACUUUCUCAGCCACUGCAUUUAAGAACAGCUUUCUAUGAAUAGGACUGCUUGCUCACUCUUAAAUCUUACUCACUGUCUUCUGCGUAAAAAUAACUUAAAUAGGGAUGCAGGCGAGAUUCAUUAAUCCCUGUCAUUCUGUCUCUCUGGGUAGUAGUCUCUUUCCUUCUUCUGAUCUCAUCAUCUGUCUUGUCAACUCCAUUCAUCCCUCUGUUACACCAUGAUCUGUAUUUACAUAACCCAGGGGCUUCAAGACCACAAAUUAAUCCAACUGAAUGAUCUGUGAAAAUCAUAAGUACUGAUCAAUAGAGAAUAAAGACAGAUCUUCAAAAGUUAAACGAUGAGAAAUAGUGUAAGCGCCAAGACACCUAAUUUGAUUCUUGCAUUUGAAACCAAUCACAAUUUGUACGAGUAAAACAUAUUCCUUUCAUGUUACUUUGACCAGGUUCUGCUGCAAAAAACAAGAAAAAAAGAUAAUGAUGACACAGACACCCAUAAAUAGAAUGCUUAUGCAAUUAGUAAUGGGAUUUUUUAAGAUGAUUAAGUCCUGCGAAACUGAGCUUUGUUUUAAUGUCCUGGGUGGCUCUUUGAUGAAGAAAUGAAUUCCCAGGAACCCCUAGGGAAGCUUAUGUGUCGGUUUGAUGUUUUUGACUGGCUUUCAGAAUGCCACAGGGCAUUAAACCUGGUGUAGGAUCCUUGAGUGGUGCCACUUACCUUACACAUGACAGCAAGGGGUCUAAUGCAUUUAUUAACUUAUCUUCUGUGACAUUUGACCCAAUCCAAGUCACAAAGAGCAUCUGAGGUCAUCGUAUCAUUAUUAUGUCACUGUGAUGAAGUCUCAUCACAUGUUUCAGGUACGAAUCCAUUUUGGGAAAGAGAAGGAAAUGCCCCCAGAAACCCUUCUAGAAAAUAAACAUUUCUACAGCCAUCCAGUGAGUGUGUCAGACAAGAUGGCAGAAGCCAAGAAACCACUCUCUUGCUCGGGUGCACUUCUCACAAUGGUUUACACAGCAGAACAGAGAUGGAGCAGAGGAAAAGCAACCUGGGGAGUAAGGAUAAGCCAGAGGCAAAAGAGGGAGGCAGAUGGGAGAGAGGAGGGGACCAACUGGGGUGGGGG
rnacentral:lncRNA from 1 species